CACGUAGGGUGCGAGCGUUGUCCGGAAUUACUGGGCGUAAAGGGCUCGUAGGCGGCCAACUAAGUCAGACGUGAAAUCCCUCGGCUUAACCGGGGAACUGCAUCUGAUACUGGAUGGCUUGAGAUUGGGAGAGGGAUGCGGAAUUCCAGGUGUAGCGGUGAAAUGCGUAGAUAUCUGGAGGAACACCGGUGGCGAAGGCGACAUCCUGGACCAACACUGACGCUGAGGAGCGAAAGCCAGGGGAGCAAACGGG
rnacentral:rRNA from 1 species